rnacentral:rRNA from 1 species
UACGUAGGGGGCAAGCGUUAUCCGGAUUCACUGGGUGUAAAGGGAGCGUAGACGGCGACGCAGGUCUGGAGUGAAAGCCCGGGGCCCAACCCCGGGACUGCUCUGGAAACUGCGUCGCUGGAGUACGGGAGGGGCAGGCGGAAUUCCUGGUGUAGCGGUGAAAUGCGUAGAUAUCAGGAGGAACACCGGCGGCGAAGGCGGCCUGCUGGACCGUGACUGACGUUGAGGCUCGAGAGCGUGGGGAGCAAACAGG